UAUUUUGAUCAAUUUUUGUAUUAGUGGUUUAUAAAUAUCUGUUAUUGUUUAUUUAUUAACACAAAAAAUUAAUUAAUUAUUAAUAUAUAUAUAUAUAUAUAUAUAAUUUAUAAUUCGCACCGCAUGUAGUUUUUUCACCAAUCAAACAUUAUUUUGUACCGCUUAUUUUGAAUAAACCGUACUUAUCCCGCAAAUAUAUUUCUCCUACACGAACCGCAGUUUAACCGUACUACACUUCAAUAACGCUUUCCCCGCACUAUAAAAACCACGGUUACCAUUCGGACCCUUAGAGCUUGUUUAAAAAAUUGCUAGGCGUUAACCGGGCAUUCGGGGACUUAUCGAUAUUAGUU
rnacentral:sRNA from 1 species